UCCUUACCACAAUGAUAGCAAGUACUUUUGGCAGAGAUCUUUUUCAUCUUCUUCUUCAAGAUGCUAGCCUUAGGGUUUAUUUUUUUCUUAGAACCCUUCUUAUCUUUCUUCUUGAAGAUCUUAUCUAUAAGAACUAGAGCCUUUUCAUCUUUGAAAUGGCUCUCUGCUAUUUUAAGCAUAUUCAGCAAUUUAGACAGGCUAAUAUUCAGUUUGUUCAUAU
rnacentral:lncRNA from 1 species